UGUGCUCCUCCACAGACACCGUGGGCAGGAACUUCUGGAGUAACGCUGGAACGAGGACCCGGGCUCCACAGCCACGCCAUAGCUGUUCCUCAACCUGCCUCCUGCUCGGAGCUUCACCUCGCGUUUGCCCUGUUUUACCAGAAAUUGGCGUUUACGAACAGGAUCCGCUGCAGGUCGUCUGGACGGUGUGACCAGGGACGAUAGUCCUAAGGACUAGGGUCGCUCCGCCUCCAAACCUCUGCAGCUGUUCUGAGUGGGAGGACUGCUCACCCGUCUGGAUCACAUCUGACGAGAUCCAACGAACUCAAAAUCCAACCUCUACUCGGCCCGGUGAAAGAGAUUCUGUUUUGUCGCGACUUAUUGGAGAAAAAAAAAAAAACGUGUUUGAAUUUGGUUUCAGGUAUUCGGGGUUUACUUGGCUCUGAUCAUUGGAUUUAGGGAAAGUAAGGCAAAUAACAAUUAAUUCUAUAACAUCCCCUACUAGACUAAAACAUAAAAGAAAAAUAUAAUUAGGACUAGAGAUAAUAUUAUUUCUAAAACGACUAUUUGGCUGAAAACAUCCAAAAUAUAAUAUUAGGAACAAACAAACAAAAAAUUUUAUUUUAAAAUUUAAUAUUCGGGUAAAAUUAAUUAGGUCAAAGUCUGCCCUGGUGGCCGAGACGGUGGUUGCUAAGGGUUGGCUCUGAGCUUUUUUGUCUGUACUGAGGAUACAGACCAGUGUGCAGAUCUGAGCGCAGUCCAAAGGGAGUGGACAAGAAAAAAAAGAAGGCUUCUGAAAGACGGAGCGCGUUUGCAGAGAAGUGUUUUCGAGAUACGAGGGACCCGGGUCUUGGAGGGGCCUGACGGUGAGGGAGCACUUCCGAGAACUCUGUCGCUGAUCUGAGUGGUUCCCUUUCUAAGGGGACGUCCGUAAAAGAGAAACUUCGAAAAAGGUUCUGGCCGGAACACACAAAAAUCUAAGGCAGGAAACCGCCGGGACUCUGAAAGAUGGGUUCGGGGCGAUCCAAGUCUCCACCACCAGACUGCAGCAUUACAAAAUUACAAAAGUAAAUAUGGUUAUUAGUGCGUUUCAUGUUUCCAUGAGUGGGAAACUCGUUAUGGGUUCAAAAGGAGAAUCACAAGUGUAAAAGACAUAUGCACAUUAAAAGAAAAAUUAGAUACAAAAGAUGAGAUUUGAAAAAGCAAAACUACAGUAUCAAUACUAAACCCCUAAAAGAAACAAAAGAGAGAUGAAAGUAACGGGAGAAAAAAAGGAGAUAACAACUCUGGGGAAGAAUUGUUUGCACACUGCAACACACACACACCACACACACAUAUAUCAUGUCAAGGGCAAAUGCUCCCAUUGUUUCUGCUCUCUAUUCUAAUGCAGAACUGAGCGCGAGGAGGGUAAAUCCGGAUCUGGACUCCUUUCCCACCAUCAGCAGAAGAACCAAAGGAGAAGAAGCGCCUGACCAACAACCAGAACCAGGUGGAAGCUCUGACACCACAGCAGCUGGAGGACACAGACCACAGCAUGGACGCCUCACAGACUCCACAACGUCUUCAGCCAUCACGUUCUGGGCUCAUCAGAUGAACCAGCUACUACAAGCGUGUGUGUCUGACACAGACACCUGCUUAUGACAAUCAGCAAAGGAAAACAAGGACAGAGCAACAGCAGAGAAGACGUGCUCUGACACAGACACUGGUUGAAACAACAGGGGAGGCUUCAGACGUGAUCGGCCCAAUAGAGCUGCAUGCGCGGAUCCAGGAAAGGUCUGUCAUCGAGGAACAACUGUCCCAUCGAAAGGCUUCACCCGCUGGCGCUCACAUCAGACUGAUGGUUGGGGAAGGAGGAAGGUGACGGUUCCUUUUCACGUGACGUACAAGACGGUACCGCAAACACACACAUACACAUUUCAACACACGCAAUGAAGAAACACGCUUACAGCUGAUACACGCUCAAAUUCAUGUUCAUGCUUAUCUGCUCGCAAUAAAGAAUCGCUUUUUGUUAAAAAAAUCCCACAGAGUGAUUUUAAAAUGACAAACAGCUAAAUGACAACUGCUGCAUGACUUUAUAGUCUGAUGUGUUUAAACUAUUUCAAUUUGCAACAAAUUCAGUAAAAAAAAACUCCAUGUUUCUAAAAAGAUUUGUGCACAAUAUAGGUUUGUCUGGCCAGACUAUAGAAAAACAAAACAGACUAUAGAAAAAACAAAACCAGACCAUAGGAAGACUGAAACCGACUGAAACUGAAUAUUAAUUACUAUUAAAGGGAAGACAACUAUUAGAGAGAAGUAAUAAUAAUUACUGUACGUAGCAGACUAUUAAAGAAAAACAUACUGUUUCACUGUUUUGUGCAACAUCUGACAGCAAGACACAUUAAGAUUCAUUUUUGCUUUCAAACUUAUGCCCAGUUAAAUUCUUAGGAAGAGAUCUCAUGUGUAGUUUGGGUAUUUGAUUGAUUUCCACUCCAGACGGGGUGCGUGUUACAUCUACAGACAUUCUAAAUAAUCCCUCUUUUGUUGGUGUUAACUUCAGCUCAGCUGUGCUCUUAUCAGUACCUGCUGAGGGGGGGCUGUAACCGAGGCCCUCACACAGGCUGCAUCCCAGCUUGUUUCCCAUGUGAUACGACCUCCAGAGACACAUCUGACCUGUCCUGUACAGCACAUGUGUCUUCUGGUCCUGAUGAGAGGUUUGAAGAGUUAUCAUUUCACACACACACAAACUGACCUCAACUUCCCUCUUUUGGAAUGAACACAGGUCUGCGCUUGCGAUUUCUUUUACUAACGAACAAAAAAGAUUUUUGAUGUUUAUUCUACAGCUCCACACGUCCGUCUGUGAAAACAUGAUGGAGACAGAUGACAGGAUGUGGGUUCUUUCGUGAACAGAUGUCAACGGGGUGGAGACUGGUGAACGACUUCCGACCCCAUGUGACGUAUUUACCUUCUUUACAUGCUUUUAGAAAACUUUUUUUAUUCCGUCAUGCACAACAAACAGUGAACUUGAUACCUCCGCAUUCUAAUGACACACACUACAUGCUUUUGUUUUUAUUUUUAUUUUUCAGAGGACGCUCUGACCCAACACUCAGCCUUACAGGAAGCCCUGCUUCCCUGUGGCUCACACACAGACAUGAUGUAGGUUUGAUCAGAGGAUGUGAACCAGUGGUCAUCACACCUAAAUCUGACCACAGACCAUGUAAACAACAACAGCCUUUUAAAGGAGCCAUAGAUGGUGUUACUACAGACACCACUAAGCUACUGAAACAUUGGGUGCUACAGGCCACAAAGAGCCUAUCUAAAUUACAGUUUGUUCAGACAAAGGUUAUUUUUCUGGGUCAUUGUACUGUAAUUACAGCUGAUGGCAAAUCCAUCUCACCCAAAAGAGUUAAAGCAAUUUGAAACCUGUCUAAACCGUGCACGUAUAAACAGCUGAUGUUUUUUCUAGGUCUUUUCUUAUUGUAGGACUUCAUUCCUAACUUUACUGUCUUUGAGGCCCCACUUAGGGUUCUGAUGCAGACGUCUUCAUCGUCCACUUCUUGUCUCACGUGGACGUCUGAGGCUGAACAACGUUCACUGACCUCAAGCUCCUACUUUGGGUCUUCCUGAUCUGACCCUUGAAGUCUGAUUGCAAACCUAUCUUACAUCAUGAUUAGGUUGCUGCUUUGCUGGACGCUGUCCUGCUUCCUACAGCUAAUGCUGUUUGCAACCGUCUGACUCACACCAUCAGUGACGACUUUGUUUGUGCCGACAUGCAGCUGCAGACGCUGCUGUGAAGGUCGCUGUCCAACAACCCCUCCCUCUCCUGAUCCUCGUUCCCUCUCCUGAUCAUUGUUCCCUCUCCAACUCUCUCUACCCUCUCCUUCCUCUCUCUCCCUGUGCUUUAAACAUUUUUUACCCCACAGCAACGCAGACUCUGGCAGAUGAAUGGUUCCACCUUUAGCCAUGGAGUUUGGUUUGGGCCUGAGGGCAGCCAUGCCGCCCAAACACUUUUUCCCCAAAAUUCAGAUUUCCCAACAGGCGACAGGACCAUUACACCAUCCAACCAGGGGACUGGGCGAUCGUUAAGGAGUUCAGAAAGAAGCAUUGGGACUCUAAACAGUGGCGAGGCCCCUUCCAUGUCCUUCUGACGACCCAAACGGCUGUAAAGAUCGCAGAGAGAGCGACUUGGAUCCACUCCAUCUACUGCAGGAAGGUUCCGGACCCAACAGACGACCCUCCAUCCACAUCCCACACGGAGAAAACCACCAAUAACAAAAAGAACUAAGAAGGACGACCCUCGCUGUGCUCACACACGCACUGAGGCGAGGUGUGAGCCAAGCGCCGCCUGAAGCUGCGCCGAUGAACCAUACUAUCAGACCAUACAUCUACACACACGCUCCUGAGAAAACACACACAGCCGCAGCCUUGAGUUGCUGACGCUGGACGACGUGUAGACUCUUCACAUCACGUGAGUGACUGUGACUAAGGUGAUAUUGGGAGGAAACCUGGCGGUGAUAACAAAUCCCAAGUGUCUCUGUGAUCAGCUGAUCACAACCUGAAGAACCCCAACGAACUGUCAAUACUUCAACACACAGGUUGGAAACAAUUUAACACUACUGUUCAACAGGACGAAGCAGAUCGUUACAGUAUGGGGUGCCAAAUGUAAAAGUAGCACCUAUAACUAGUUUUCUCACAUUUAACUAAAUGACACAACAUGUUUUCUCACAUUUAGUUAAAUGUGCAAAAGUCUAAAUGUAAAUGUUAAAUAUAAAUGUAAAUGUUAAAUAUAAAUGUUAAAUGUUAAAUGUAAAUGUUAAAUGUUAAAUCUAAAUGUUAAAUGUUAAAUCUAAAUGUUAAAUGUAAAUGUAAAUGUUAAAUGUUCGCCGAGUGUAAACUGAAUAUUCAUGAAUGGGCAAGUAGACUCCAUCCCUACCCUCAAACAGCGCUGGUCUAAGAUCAGUGACGCGGACUCAAACACGUCAAACAGUACGCAUAGCUCCGCCCACAUCUGCACCCUGGAUCGGUGCACGAAAAUACUGGAGAGAAGCCUGAAGUCGAAGCCAUCAUGGCCGCCAGCUUCGACUCCCUCCCGUUGGGGGAGAUUGAACGGGCUCUAACGGCAGGUGUGCGGGCUGAGGCUCCGCUUCAAACUGCCGUUCUGUCCUAAACACCAUUAAUGAGGAGUUAAGUAGGUUUAAAAAGAAUAUUUCUGUGGCGCCGGUGGAGAAUUAGUUGGCUAACUAUACUAGCUAGCCGAAGUUACGUCCAGGCUAAAAACAAAAGUUUCCAGAUCAGAUGUGGGCGGGGUUUGCGCGCACUGUUUGAGGUGAUUGAGUUCGCGUCUCUGAUCUGAGACCAGCGCUGUUUGAGGGUAGGGGUAGAGUCUACUUGCACAAUCAUGAAUAUUCAGUUUACACUCGGCAAACAUUUAACAUUUACAUUUAACAUUUACAUUUAACAUUUACAUUUAGACUUUUGCACAUUUAACUAAAUGUGAGAAAACAUGUUUUGUCAUUUCGUUAAAUGUGAGAAAACUAGUUAUAGGUGCUACUUUUACAUUUGGCACCCCAUAUUACAGACAUCGAUUGUAACCUUGUUUUGUUAGACUUAAUUUUAUGUUACUCUGAUUAUUGCCUUAAUCAUAUGAUGUUUCUAUGUAACUUUACACACUACUUUUGAAUGAGAAAAUUUCACAACGACACUGAGUUUAAAUAUCCUGAAGUUGACUUGUUGUUUGUAUUAGUUUUUAUCCUUCAUCUACAGAUGAUACAGGUCAUAAGACAACACAAGUAGCAAAUGCAUCAUCAUUCUGGUUUAAUCCCUUAUUCUCCUAUUCAUUCUAGACGCAAAUCUACAAUUAAAGAUCUGAAAGUUAUCCCACUAGUUAGAGGUCUCAUUAUGCGUGCGACCUCAGCAACACUCUUGUAUCAAAUGACACAAUGCAUGUUCAAAAAACCCCAACUCUUAUUCUGAUACAAAUACGAUUAUUGACUUAUUUUCUUUACAUGCUUACACAGAGGUUAUUCUUGUAUAGCUACCCACCAAAACAGCUCCCAACCUUUUGUCCCUAAGUUACUUGCAUUUUAUGUGAAGGUAUAUUUUGAAUCUUGAUGAGUUAAUACACUCACUGUUUCAUUUGUAAGGGCCGUUAUUAUUUCAAAAUGCAAUGUUUGACAAUUUUUAUUAUUUUAGUGUUUGAUAAAUAUGUAAUCAAAAGGGGGGAAUUUUAAUGGAAAAAUUGUGCCUUUGUGCUAUUUCUUAUCCAACACAGUCGUCGUGUGCUGGUUAGGUGCAAUACUGAACAUUCUUACACAAACAAAUAAUCUCUUGCGCCCUGUCGUACAUCAAGUCUAAACAUCAUCACAUGUUCCAUUUGACUGACUAAUAAUUUAUGAUAUAUGUUUGUCUUUUACACCCGGACUCUGGCUCCAUCCUAUCUGACUCCCCACCAGACCCAAGGCUGAAGCGAAUGCAUCUUGUCUUGGAAGCUUGGUGUUCCUUCCUUUGGAUAACAAGACAUGAUGAUGCAGAAGUGAGAAAGCAAACAUUCUCACUCACAGCAGAUAAGGUGGCACAAACAAUUCCAUUGGUGCAGAGGGACAUUCCACCAGAGCCAGAGAAAGGGGUUAAAAGGCAGAAGCAACUAGAGGACAUUGGUGUCCGGCUUUGGCAGAUGUCCGACCCACAUGCACAGGCGGACAACAGGAGAUCUUUAUUCCACACGGGUUAGUACAGACGGUCCAGUUCAUACACACAUAAAAAUCUCGAAUGGUAAGUACAGGAGGAACAGGCAUCAAUCGGGUCCAGGGAAAGGCAGGAGUACGGUAACAGUUCGACACGGCAAAGGUACCAGGUAAGGAGCAGGCUUUCUCAGAGUCAGAUAGACAGAUACGUUACCAACGUUCAAGGCAAAGGUACAGGCAGGGCACAGGCAGAAGUCAGGGACGGAAACACGAUCUCGAGCUAAGUAAACAAUCCAAGGUAUGCUGGAAUGUGGUGGAUAUCACGCAACAAUCUGGCAGAGGUAAAAGGUGAGUGCCAGAGCCUUCAUACCUUGAUUGAUUACCAGAUAGAAACCGGCUGCGGAGUCAUGUGACCAGGAGCGACCCCGGAACAAAAAAACACAAAGACAGGAAGCCAAUAAAAUAAAGCAGGAAAUACCAAACGGCCCCAGGAAUCAUAACACGUGGGCUCUUUGCAUCACACCUUCGUGGUGUAUGCACUGAUCUCCCCAGCUGGUUUUUGGUUUGUUGAUGUGCACGAUCAACAUCCAUGCUUUUUAUUUGCUUUCGCCAUUAUUUUUAUUUUCUUUAUUAUUUCAAUAAAUCGCACAAAAGGACAA